rnacentral:rRNA from 1 species
GGCGAUAGCUAAUUGCAUCGAAAAUAUGAUGCAAGAUCGAUUUAUUGAAUAAAAUUCUGGGUAGAAUUAUGAUUAUGACAUUGUCUACCCAUGUGUCUUGACCAAAUUACGUGCCAGCAGUCGCGGUAAUACGUAGAAGACUAGUGUUAUUCAUCUUUAAUAGGUUUAAAGGGUACCUAGACGGUAAAUCAAGCCCUAGACGGGACUAAUUUUCUAGAGUUACUUGUGAGGGGGUUUUAAAGUACUAAUGGUGUAGAGAUGAAAUUUUGUAAUACCAUUUUUCGAAAGAAAAGUAAUGGCACAGGUAUAGGCGAAAGCAUCCCCUUAUGUGAUAACUGACGUUGAAGGACGAAGGCUUUGAGUCGCGAACAGGAUUAGAUACCCUGGUAGUCAAAGCAGAAAAUAAUGAGUGUCAUAGAUUAGAUAUUAAAGUUUAUUCUAUAAAUGAAAGUGUAAGCACUCCACCUCAAGAGUAAUUUGGCAACAUUGGAACUGAAAUCAUUAGACCGUUUCUGAAACCAGUAGUGAAGUAUGUUGUUUAAUUUGAUAAUCCGCAAAAAACCUUACCACAAUUUGAAUAUUUAUAUCGUUGAUAUAAUUACAAGCGUUGCACGGCUGUCUUCAGUUAAUGUCGUGAGAUUUUGGUUAGAUCCAUUAAAUUAACGCAAGCCCUUACUUUAUUUUAAAAUAAAGUCGUUCCCCACUAGAUUGGAUAAGAUAACAGGGAUUAAGACAAGUCAUCAUGGCCUGAAUAUUGUGGGCUAUAGACGUGCCACAUAAACCUUUACAAAAGGAUGUGAAAUUGUGAAAUUGAGCUAAU